rnacentral:rRNA from 1 species
UACGUAGGGGGCAAGCGUUGUCCGGAAUUAUUGGGCGUAAAGAGCGCGUAGGCGGUCCGAUAAGUCUGCUGUGAAAGUCCAGGGCUCAACCCUGGAAGGCCGGUGGAAACUGUCGGGCUAGAGUCCGGAAGAGGCGAGUGGAAUUCCCGGUGUAGCGGUGAAAUGCGCAGAUAUCGGGAGGAACACCAAUGGCGAAGGCAGCUCGCUGGGACGGUACUGACGCUGAGACGCGAAAGCGUGGGGAGCAAACAGG